rnacentral:rRNA from 1 species
GGCCUUUAGCCCCACAAGUAUUAAAGGUCCCGCCUGCCCAGUGAAUCCCUUAUUAAACGGCCGCGGUAUCAUAACCGUGCAAAGGUAGCGUAAUCACUUGUCUCCUAAAUAGAGACCUGUAUGAACGACUAGAUGAGGACACACCUGUCUCCUGCGGCCAAUCAAUAAAACUGAUCCAUCAGUACAAAAGCUGAUAUAGCACCAUAAGACGAGAAGACCCUGUGGAGCUUUAAACCUACUACUAACCAAUAAGCCCCAAUAUCAUAAAGAUACCGCAACAUAAUGGAAUAGUAGAAAUUUUUAGUUGGGGCGACUACGGAAUAAAAUAAACCUUCCAUGUAUUCAAGUUAGACACUAACUAUGGGCCUACAGGCCAAACACCUGACCCAGUGACAAACUGAUCAACGGACCAAGUUACCCCAGGGAUAACAGCGCUAUCCCCCUCAAGAGUCCCUAUCGCCAGGGGGGCUUACGACCUCGAUGUUGGAUCAGGACACCCCGGUGGUGCAGCCACUACCAACGGUUCGUUUGUUCAACGAUUAAAGUCCU